GCACAAUGGGUCGGUGGCUUGCGUGGGAUGCCGCUAUUUUGUCCCAGCUUAGCGAGGCUCACCAAGCUAUGUUCCCUGCCAUCCUCACCAGCAAGCGUGGCGUGGAUAGGACUGUUGUGCGCCUUCUGAGGGACCGGACGGAAGGGAACACCAUGGUCAAGGUGUGGCGGCAGAUACAGGAGAACCACGUUGAAGAGUACCUUCAGCGUAAGGACCUGUACACCACACUCCUCAUGACUGUCGUGAAACCUGGAGGGAUCGUUUCUGCACUAAGGCACACUUUCCAGGCUCCACCUCCUCCAAGAGAGCUCCCCUCCGCGCGGCUCCUGCGCCACGCCUUCCUGCUGGCGGAGGCCAGCAACGUGCAGGAUUACCGGAGCCAGAUCCUCUCCACUUUUGGCACUGUGCUGAAAAUGGAUUCCACCAAGAAAGUGGUGAAGAAGCUGUCUGGGGAGGGUGGAGGCUCAGCUGAGUGGUUCACCAGCAUCGGAAACGAGCACUCCCAGAUAGUUUCAUUUGUGCUGACCUGUGAGGAGUCCACAGAGAAGCUGAAACCGAUGUGCCUUGGGGUCAUGGAGAGGUUCCGGCUGGCCAAUCAACCAGUCCCAAAAAUUAUAUACGUGGACCGUGGGUGUUGCCGUGCGCAGGGCCCAACAGCGC
ensembl:lncRNA